GAUGAACGCUGGCGGCGUGCCUAAUACAUGCCAGUCGAGCGAACAGACGAGGAGCUUGCUCCUCUGACGUUAGCGGCGGACGGGUGAGUAACACGUGGAUAACCUACCUAUAAGACUGGGAUAACUUCGGGAAACCGGAGCUAAUACCGGAUAAUAUAUUGAACCGCAUGGUUCAAUAGUGAAAGACGGUUUUGCUGUCACUUAUAGAUGGAUCCGCGCCGCAUUAGCUAGUUGGUAAGGUAACGGCUUACCAAGGCAACGAUGCGUAGCCGACCUGAGAGGGUGAUCGGCCACACUGGAACUGAAACACGGUCCAGACUCCUACGGGAGGCAGCAGUAGGGAAUCUUCCGCAAUGGGCGGAAGCUUGACGGAGCAACGCCGCGUGAGUGAUGAAGGUCUUCGGAUCGUAAAACUCUGUUAUUAGGGAAGAACAAAUGUGUAAGUAACUAUGCACGUCUUGACGGUACCUAAUCAGAAAGCCACGGCUAACUACGUG
rnacentral:rRNA from 1 species